GCGGCUGUAGUUUAGUGGCAGAACUGGUGCUUCCCAAGCAUCGGACGCGAGUUCGAUUCUCGCCAGCCGCA
rnacentral:tRNA from 2 species